AACGAACGCUGGCGGCAUGCCUAACACAUGCAAGUCGAACGAGAUCUUCGGGUCUAGUGGCGCACGGGUGCGUAACGCGUGGGAAUCUGCCCUUUGGUUCGGAAUAACAGUUGGAAACGACUGCUAAUACCGGAUGAUGACGAAAGUCCAAAGAUUUAUCGCCAGAGGAUGAGCCCGCGUAGGAUUAGCUAGUUGGUGUGGUAAAGGCGCACCAAGGCGACGAUCCUUAGCUGGUCUGAGAGGAUGAUCAGCCACACUGGGACUGAGACACGGCCCAGACUCCUACGGGAGGCAGCAGUGGGGAAUAUUGGACAAUGGGCGAAAGCCUGAUCCAGCAAUGCCGCGUGAGUGAUGAAGGCCCUAGGGUUGUAAAGCUCUUUUACCCGGGAUGAUAAUGACAGUACCGGGAGAAUAAGCCCCGGCUAACUCCGUGCCAGCAGCCGCAGUAA
rnacentral:rRNA from 1 species